rnacentral:rRNA from 1 species
AAUGAACGCUGGCGGCAGGCCUAACACAUGCAAGUCGAGCGACCACACCGUAAGCUCUUGCUCUUGCGGGUGGCGCGUGUCGGACGGGUCCCUCUUCCAUCGCAUACUCCUUUUUCUUUGGGAAUAACGUCGGACCAGUUCUGCUACUGCCUCAUAUAUCCUCCAGGUUUCUGCCCGCGUUCUUCUCGGCUUUCGCGGUUGUAUUAGCCGAUGUCGCCUUAGCUAGUUGGCGGGGUAAAGGCCCACCUAGGCCACGCUCCGUAGCUGGUCUGAGAGGAUGAUCAGCCACACUGGAACUGAGACACGGUCCAGACUCCUACGGGAGGCAGCAGUGGGGAAUAUUGGGCAAUGGGCGAAAGCCUGAUCGAGCAACACCGCGUGGGUGAAGAAGGACUUCGGGUGGUAAAGCCAUGUUGUUGGGAAAGAAAAAAAGCAGGUUAAGAUGGGGAUGUUAUGACGGUACCAAAAGAAGAAGCACCGGCUAACUACGUG